rnacentral:lncRNA from 1 species
AAGAUCCACAGAGUGUCUGAUGCAUCACAUUAAAUGUUUGCCGUGUGCAGUAAUAAUUAUGAAUAAUGUUACUAAAACUUUGUCCACAAUUUUCAUCUUUCGUAAUCUUUCCAGGCUGCCUAUCCACUGCAGAUUGGAGUUGAACUGAGUUUUCCUAUAUUUUCAAUAAAGCCAACACCGAGUGACAAGAAGCAUGAUAUAUAUCUAUCACCAUUGAUAGUGUAGUACUUAUCUAGCUGCUUAAUUGUUCAAUAUGCCUUACAGGUCCUACACAUUACUUCAUUUGCUUGCUGUAGACCAUGUUUAAAUAACAUUCUCAAGUAGCACAGUGUGGAGCAUAGGCAACCUGUCCUGCACUCUGGCGUCUCUUUGGAAGACCAGAGCAGGAGUUAUCCUAAAUUGUUCAUGAUGCUUCCCAUGCCUAAUAA